GUACGCUGGCGGCACGCCUAACACAUGCAAGUCGAACGAAGUAGCAAUACUUAGUGGCAGACGGGUGAGUAACAUGUGGGUAUCUACCCUUUGGCCUGGAAUAACACGAGGAAACUUGUGCUAAUACCGGAUAAGUCUUUACGGAGAAAGCUUUAUGCACCAUUGGAUGAGCCCGCACUUGAUUAGUUUGUUGGUAGGGUAAUGGCCUACCAAGACUAUGAUCAAUAGCUGAUUUGAGAGGAUGAUCAGCCACAUUGGGACUGAGACACGGCCCAAACUCCUACGGGAGGCAGCAGUGGGGAAUCUUGCACAAUGGAGGAAACUCUGAUGCAGCGAUGCCGCGUGAGUGAAGAAGGCCUUUGGGUUGUAAAGCUCUUUCGUCGGGGAAGAAAAUGACUGUACCCGAAUAAGAAGGUCCGGCUAA
rnacentral:rRNA from 1 species